rnacentral:rRNA from 1 species
AGGAUUAACGCUGGCGGCGUGCCUAACACAUGCAAGUCGAACGAGGUAGCAAUACCUAGUGGCAGACGGGUGAGUAGCGCGUGGUCAACCUACCGUUGAGUGGGGGAUAACUAGCCGAAAGGUUAGCUAAUACCGCAUACGUCUCCGAGGGGCAUCCCUUGGCGAUAAAAGGAGCAAUCCGCUCGAUGACGGGACCGCGUCCCAUUAGCUAGUUGGUGGGGUAACGCCUACCAAGGCGUCGAUGGGUAGCUGGUUUGAGAGAGCGACCAGCCACACUGGGACUGAGAUACGGCCCAGACUCCUACGGGAGGCAGCAGUGAGGAAUUUUCCGCAAUGGGCGAAAGCCUGACGGAGCGACGCCGCGUGUGGGAAGAAGGCCUUCGGGUCGUAAACCACUGUCGAAGGGGAAGAUAAUGACGGUACCUUGGAGGAAGCCCCGGCUAACUACGUGCCAGCAGCCGC